rnacentral:rRNA from 1 species
UCCUUCUGGAGGAGACCCCCGGGAACUGGGGCUAAUCCCCAAUAGAUAUGGAGGCCUGGAAUGGUUCCAUAUUCAAAUGCAUAACAACCAUGUUUGUUAUGUGCCAAAGGAUGGGGCUGCGGCUGAUCAGGCAGUUGGUGAGGUAACGGCUCACCAAACCUUUGACCAGUACGGGCCGUGAAAGCGGUAGCCCGGAGAUGGGUACUGAGACAAGGACCCAGGCCCUACGGGGCGCAGCAGGCGCGAAAACUCCACAAUGUACGCAAGUACGAUGGGGUUACCUUGAGUGCAGUCUGAAAAAGGUUGCUUUUCCAUAGAGUAAUAUCCUAUGGGAAUAAGAGGGGGGCAAGACUGGUGUCAGCCGCCGCGGUAACACCAGCCCCUCGAGUGGUGGGGACUUUUAUUUGGCCUAAAGCGUCCGUAGCUGGCUGUUUCCGUCCCCCGUUAAAUCCAGCGUCUCAAGCGUUGGACUGCGGGUGAUACCAAACAGCUAGAGGGUGGGAGAGGUCAGCGGUAUUUCUGGGGUAGGGGCGAAAUCCUUUGAUCCCAGGAGGACCACCAGUGGCGAAGGCUGCUGACUAGAACACGCCUGACGGUCAGGGACGAAAGCUGGGGCAGCGAACCGGAUUAGAUACCCGGGUAGUCCCAGCUGUAAACGAUGCUCGUUAGGUGUUGGGUCGGCCAUGCGCCGCCCCAGUGCCGCAGGGAAGCCGUUAAGCGAGCCGCCUGGGGAGUACGGCCGCAAGGCUGAAACUUAAAGGAAUUGGCGGGGGAGCAC